UACAGAGGUCUCGAGCGUUAGGCGGAAUCACUGGGCUUAAAGCGUGUGUAGGCGGAUUGCUAAGUACCUUGUGAAAUCCCACGGCUUAACCGUGGAACUGCUUGGUAUACUGGCUGUCUUGAGCCACUUAGGGGCAACCGGAACAAACGGUGGAGCGGUGAAAUGCGUAGAUAUCGUUUGGAACGCCAAUGGUGAAAACAGGUUGCUGGGAGUGUGCUGACGCUGAGACACGAAAGCCAGGGGAGCAAACAGG
rnacentral:rRNA from 1 species